rnacentral:rRNA from 1 species
GAUGAACGCUAGCGGCAGGCCUAAUACAUGCAAGUCGGACGGGAUUCCGGAGCUUGCUUCUGAUGAGAGUGGCGCACGGGUGCGUAACACGUAUGUAACCUACCUUUAUCAGGGGGAUAGCCUCUCGAAAGAGAGAUUAAGCCCGCAUAAAAUCACAGCACAGCAUUGUGUAAUGAUCAAAUAUUUAUAGGAUAAAGAUUGGCAUGCGGAACAUUAGCUAGAUGGCGGGGUAACGUCCCACCAUGGCGACGAUGUUUAGGGGAUCUGAGAGGAUUGCCCCCCAGAAUGGAAAUGAGAAAAGGACAAGAAUGCGACGGGAGGGAGCAGAAAGGAAUAUAGGUCAAGGGGAGGAAGCAUGAAACAGCCAAGCCGAGUGCAGGAAGACGGCGAUACGGGUUGUAAACUGAUUUUAAAAGGGAAUAAACCAAGAUACGUGUAUCUGGCUGAAUGUACUGUAAGAAUAAGGAACGGCUAACUCCGUG